rnacentral:rRNA from 1 species
AGGACGAACGCUGGCGGCGUGCUUAACACAUGCAAGUCGAGCGGUAAGGCCUUUCGGGGUACACGAGCGGCGAACGGGUGAGUAACACGUGGGUGAUCUGCCCUGCACUCUGGGAUAAGCCUGGGAAACUGGGUCUAAUACCGGAUAUGACCUGCUCUCGCAGUGGGGGUGGGUGGAAAGAUUUAUCGGUGCAGGAUGGGCCCGCGGCCUAUCAGCUUGGUUGGUGGGUAAUGGCCUACCAAGGCGACGAC